CAUGUAGGCGGAUUAAUAAGUUUGAAGUGAAAUCCUAUAGCUUAACUAUAGAACUGCUUUGAAAACUGUUAAUCUAGAAUGUGGGAGAGGUAGAGUGGAAUUUCUGGUGUAGGGGUAAAAUCCGUAGAGAUCAGAAGGAAUACCGAUUGCGAAGGCGAUCUACUGGAACAUUAUUGACGCUGAGACGCGAAAGCGUGGGGAAGCAAACAG
rnacentral:rRNA from 1 species